rnacentral:lncRNA from 1 species
AUUCACGGCGCUUUAACAUGAUCCAGGUGAUGUUAGCGUCCUGCUAGUGGUCCACGUGGUCCACGAUGAGGAGGUGGAUUCGGCCCCACCCCCUGCUACAGUGAGCCAAUGAGCUCAGUCACACAAAACAGUGCUGACGUCAGCAGUCUCCGGGACAAAGGAGGGAUCCAAGCAGGCAGGCUGUGAGGAUGGCGAGGGUGGUCCACCACAGUGCGAUGAGCAACCACCAGCGCCAGGCUUGACGUCAGAAGGAUGAGUGGUGCACUCCAGAAGGUUCUGUGAGCUCAGAGCCUCCCGGAUCUUCCUGAGAGAAGAGAAGAGAAAGCACGAAGCACUCACACCUGCUCUUGAGAGCCUUGACCAGAAGUGGCAGAAGUCAUUCUCCGGCACCAGCCUGUCAUGUGACCCCAUUAACCUGCAGGAGGCCUGCAAGUGCAGUCCCAGGUGCCUGGAAGAAGCAGAGAACCACAGAUGGGUUUUCCUGCUGGUGGCCAGGUGUGACUUUGGGUGGAGCAUUAGGAAGCAGGCUGCAAGCUCAAUGUAAGCUGUGCUCUUCAAUCCACUUGAAAAGCUGCCAGUUUGGGCUGAAUCUGACCUCCUAACUGGUCCCAAAUUCAGUUAGCUGUAAGGAAAAUGGUCGUCAGAGCUCCAGAAAUCACAGCAGAGCUAUUGAGAACUUAACUAAGGUUGUUGUGGUGAAUAAAUGAAUAAGUACAAGGCACUUAACCUGGUACCUGGUUACAUGGCAGAUCUCCAGUAUUAGUUCUUAUUUUAAAAUUCUUGUAAUUUGUUCGUUUUCUUUAUAAACAAAUUAAAUUCUUCUUAAAACUGAACACCCUUUUAGUUUUGUUUAG